GGGGAUUAGUGGCGAACGGGUGAGUAACACGUGAGUAACCUGCCCUUAACUCUGGGAUAAGCCUGGGAAACUGGGUCUAAUACCGGAUAUGACUCCUCAUCGCAUGGUGGGGGGUGGAAAGCUUUUGUGGUUUUGGAUGGACUCGCGGCCUAUCAGCUUGUUGGUGAGGUAAUGGCUCACCAAGGCGACGACGGGUAGCCGGCCUGAGAGGGUGACCGGCCACACUGGGACUGAGACACGGCCCAGACUCCUACGGGAGGCAGCAGUGGGGAAUAUUGCACAAUGGGCGGAAGCCUGAUGCAGCGACGCCGCGUGAGGGAUGACGGCCUUCGGGUUGUAAACCUCUUUCAGUAGGGAAGAAGCGAGAGUGACGGUACCUGCAGAAGAAGCGCCGGCUAACUACGUGCCAGCAGCCGCGGUAAUACGUAGGGCGCAAGCGUUAUCCGGAAUUAUUGGGCGUAAAGAGCUCGUAGGCGGUUUGUCGCGUCUGCCGUGAAAGUCCGGGGCUCAACUCCGGAUCUGCGGUGGGUACGGGCAGACUAGAGUGAUGUAGGGGAGACUGGAAUUCCUGGUGUAGCGGUGAAAUGCGCAGAUAUCAGGAGGAACACCGAUGGCGAAGGCAGGUCUCUGGGCAUAACUACGCU
rnacentral:rRNA from 1 species